UUGAGCGCUGGCGGCAUGCCUUACACAUGCAAGUCGAACGGCAGCACGGGUGCUUGCACCUGGUGGCGAGUGGCGAACGGGUGAGUAAUACAUCGGAACAUGUCCUGUAGUUGGGGAUAGCCCGGCGAAAGCCGGAUUAAUACCGCAUACGAUCUACGGAUGAAAUCGGGGGACCUUCGGGCCUCGCGCUAUAGGGUUGGCCGAUGGCUGAUUAGCUAGUUGGUGGGGUAAAGGCCUACCAAGGCGACGAUCAGUAGAUGGUCUGAGAGGACGACCAGCCACACUGGGACUGAGACACGGCCCAGACUCCUACGGGAAGCAGCAGUGGGGAAUUUUGGACAAUGGGCGAAAGCCUGAUCCAGCAAUGCCGAGUGUGUGAAGAAGGCCUUCGGGUUGUAAAGCACUUUUGUCCGGAAAGAAAUCCUUGGCUCUAAUACAGUCGGGGGAUGACGGUACCGGAAGAAUAAGCACCAGCUAACUACGUG
rnacentral:rRNA from 1 species